rnacentral:rRNA from 1 species
UACAGAGGUCUCAAGCGUUGUUCGGAUUCAUUGGGCGUAAAGGGUGCGUAGGUGGCGCGCUAAGUCGGGUGUGAAAUUUCGGAGCUUAACUCCGAAACUGCAUUCGAUACUGGCGUGCUUGAGGACUGGAGAGGAGACUGGAAUUUACGGUGUAGCAGUGAAAUGCGUAGAUAUCGUAAGGAAGACCAGUGGCGAAGGCGGGAUCUCUGGACAGUUCCUGACACUGAGACACGAAGGCCAGGGGAGCAAACGGG